CUACGGGUUGCACCAGUGAGGAAUAUUGCACAAUGGGGGGAACCCUGAUGCAGCAACGCCGCGUGGAGGAUGACGCAUUUCGGUGUGUAAACUCCUUUUAUAUGUCAAGAAAAUGACGGUAGCAUAUGAAUAAGCACCGGCUAACUCCGUGCCAGCAGCCGCGGUAAUACGGAGGGUGCAAGCGUUACUCGGAAUCACUGGGCGUAAAGGACGCGUAGGCGGGUUGGAAAGUCAGGUGUGAAAUCCUACAGCUUAACUGUAGAACUGCACUUGAAACUUCUAAUCUAGAGUAUGGGAGGGGGAGAUGGAAUUAGUGGUGUAGGGGUAAAAUCCGUAGAUAUCACUAGGAAUACCUAAAGCGAAGGCGAUCUGCUGGAACAUAACUGACGCUAAGGCGUGAAAGUGUGGGGAGCAAACAGGAUUAGAUACCCUCGUAGUC
rnacentral:rRNA from 1 species